rnacentral:rRNA from 1 species
AUGAAGCUUGGGUAAAGCCAAGUGGAGGUCCGAACCGACCGAUGUUGAAAAAUCGGCGGAUGAGCAGUGGUUAGGGGUGAAAUGCCAAUCGAACUCGGAGCUAGCUGGUUCUCCCCGAAAUGCGUUGAGGCGCAGCGGUUAACGAUGGGCUGUCUAGGGGUAAAGCACUGUUUCGGUGCGGGCUGCGAGAGCGGUACCAAAUCGUAGCAAACUAAGAAUACUAGGCAGGCUUUCCGUUGACCAGUGAGACAGUGGGGGAUAAGCUUCAUUGUCGAGAGGGAAACAGCCCAGACCACCAGUUAAGGCCCCAAAAUGACCGCUAAGUGUUAAAGGAGGUGAGAAUGCUGAAACAACCAGGAGGUUUGCUUAGAAGCAGCCACCCUUUAAAGAGUGCGUAAUAGCUCACUGGUAAAGCGUUCUUGCGCCGAAAAUGAACGGGACUAAGCGGUCUGCCGAAGCUGUGGGUAACCUAGUGAUAUUACACGUGUUGUGCCUGCUUGUCACGCUUCCUUUGGACGCGAAGCUGUCACUUGCAUUGGUUUUAAACCAGGUUACGGUAGGGGAGCGUUCCGCUGUAGGGUGAAGCAGCAAUGUGAGUUGCUGUGGACAAGGCGGAAGUGAGAAUGUCGGCUUGAGUAACGCAAACAUUGGUGAGAAUCCAAUGCCCCGAAAACCUAAGGGUUCCUUCACUAGGUUCGUCCAUGAAGGGUGAGUCAGGGCCUAAGGCGAGGCCGAAAGGCGUAGCCGAUGGGAAACGGAUUAAUAUUCCCGUACUAAUUUGUGGUUAACACCGAGGGACGAAGGAGGCUAGAGUUAGUCAGUAGUGGAUGCUGUCGGAAACCUUCGAGGCUUUGAGAGGUAGAAAAGAAACUGUCCUUGAGCUGAGAGGUUAUACACCUCUGUUUGUAGUGUAUGUGAAGGUUAUCUGUUAGCAGGUAAGUCACAAAAGCGGGACAGUUGUUAACUUGAUGUCACACUUCCUAGAAAAGCUCGAACUGUGCGUUAUGUGCUCCAUAACCUCUACAAAUUACCUGUACCCGAAACCGACACAGGUAGGUAGGUAGAGUAUACCUAGGGGCGCGAGAUAACUCUCUCUAAGGAACUCGGCAAAAUGGCCCCGUAACUUCGGGAGAAGGGGUGCCCCCUUGUGCUAAGCAAGGGGGCCGCAGUGACCAGGCCCAGGCGACUGUUUACCAAAAACACAGGUCUCCGCUAAGUCGUAAGACGAUAUAUGGGGGCUGACGCCUGCCCAGUGCCGGAAGGUAAAGGGAGUUGGUUACUUGUUUUUUGACAGGGAAGCUGACAACCGAAGCCCCGGUGAACGGCGGCCGUAACUAUGACGGUCCUAAGGUAGCGAAAUUCCUUGUCGGGUAAGUUCCGACCCGCACGAAAGGCGUAACGAUCUGGGCGCUGUCUCGGAGAGAGACUCGGUGAAAUAGACAUGUCCGUGAAGAUGCGGACUAACUACACCUGGACAGAAAGACCCUAUGAAGCUUUACUGUAGCCUGGAAUUGGGUUUGGGCUUUUUUUGCGCAGCUUAGGUGGGAGGCGAUGAACCUUUCUCUCCGGGGAGAGCGGAGCUACCAGUGAGAUACCACUCUAAAAGAGCUAGAAUUCUAAUGGCGAUCCUUGAAUCAGGACGAUUGACAGUUUCAGGCGGGCAGUUUUACUGGGGCGGUAGCUUCCUAAAAGGUAACGGAGGCGUGCAAAGGUUCCCUCAGGUUGGACGGAAAUCAGCCGGAGAGUGUAAAGGCAUAAGGGAGCUUGACUGCGAGACCUACAAGUCGAGCAGGGGCGAAAGCCGGCCUUAGUGAUCCGACGGUACCGAGUGGAAGAGCCGUCGCUCAACGGAUAAAAGUUACUCUAGGGAUAACAGGCUGAUCUUCCCCAAGAGUUCACAUCGACGGGAAGGUUUGGCACCUCGAUGUCGGCUCAUCGCAACCUGGGGCGGUAGUACGUCCCAAGGGUUGGGCUGUUCGCCCA